GGCGUGCUUAACACAUGCAAGUCGAGCGGAAAGGCCCUUCGGGGUACUCGAGCGGCGAACGGGUGAGUAACACGUGAGCAACCUGCCCCUGACUCUGGGAUAAGCCCGGGAAACUGGGUCUAAUACCGGAUAUGACCGCCUCCGGCAUCGGAUGGUGGUGGAAAGUUUUUCGGUUGGGGAUGGGCUCGCGGCCUAUCAGCUUGUUGGUGGGGUAGUGGCCUACCAAGGCGACGACGGGUAGCCGGCCUGAGAGGGCGACCGGCCACACUGGGACUGAGACACGGCCCAGACUCCUACGGGAGGCAGCAGUGGGGAAUAUUGCGCAAUGGGCGGAAGCCUGACGCAGCGACGCCGCGUGGGGGAUGACGGCCUUCGGGUUGUAAACCUCUUUCAGCAGGGACGAAGUUGACGUGUACCUGCAGAAGAAGCGCCGGCUAACUACGUGCCAGCAGCCGCGGUAAUACGUAGGGCGCAAGCGUUGUCCGGAAUUAUUGGGCGUAAAGAGCUCGUAGGUGGCUGGUCGCGUCUGCCGUGAAAGCCCGCAGCUUAACUGCGGGUCUGCGGUGGAUACGGGCCGGCUAGAGGUAGGUAGGGGCAAGUGGAAUUCCUGGUGUAGCGGUGAAAUGCGCAGAUAUCAGGAGGAACACCGGUGGCGAAGGCGGCUUGCUGGGCCUUACCUGACGCUGAGGAGCGAAAGCGUGGGGAGCGAACAGGAUUAGAUACCCUGGUAGUCCACGCUGUAAACGUUGGGCG
rnacentral:rRNA from 1 species